rnacentral:rRNA from 1 species
CUGCCCACUGAAGAUUUAAUGGCCGCAGUAAUUUAACUGUGCGAAGGUAGCAUAAUAAUUAGUUUUUUAAUUGAGAGCUGGAAUGAAUGAUUGGACGAGAAAUAAACUAUCUUUAUAUUAAAAUAUUAUAAUUUUAUUUUUAAGUUAGAAAGCUUAAAUUUAUUUUGAGACGAGAAAACCCCAUACACUUUUAUAUUUAUAUUUUUUAUAUCAAGUUAUUACUAUUUUUAUUUAAUAUAAUUAAAUAUUUUAUUGGGGUGAUAUAAAAAAAUAAUAGGCUUUUUAUUAUAGCAACAAAAAUUAUUGGUUAAUUGAUCCUUUACUUAAGAUUAAUAAAUUAAAUUACCUUGGGGAUAACAGCGUAAUUUUUUUAAAGAGUUCAUAUCGAAAAAAAAGAUUGCGACCUCGAUGUUGGAUUAAGAUUUAUAUUUGGUGUAGAAUUUAAUAUAUUAAGUCUGUUCGACUUUUAAAAUCUUACAUGAUC